CAAGUUUUACACUGAGCUUCCUCCGGAUAAAUUGUUCAAAAACCCAACACCCUCGGUCCAGAUUCACACAUGACAACAUCACUCCGCAGGUCUACCUCCGGUUUCAACAAUAUUGGUACAAUGGAUAGACCGUCGUUAGCGCGUGAUCCCAGGAAAGCAAGGUAUUCUUGAUUGUUUUCUCCAUUGCCAAGAGUUUAGUAACCCAUCAGAGACAUCACCUGCAGCCCUGAGAAGCAGUAGCAAAGUCAUGGGAAGCCCUUCAGCCGUGUAGGCCGGUUCAUUGAAGCCAAGGCAUCCGAUCGUUGUUGCUUUGCAACGGAAAUCGUUGGUGUGGAGUCCACUCAAGUUAAAAGGCCAAGAAGGUUCCAUAUUAACCAUUGACGGCUGCUGAAGGAGUGGCAGCCACUAGGUUUUGCUGGGAAAAAAGGAGGA